UAAAGGUGACGUGAAUUUGGGCGGUCCACAGAGAGCCAUGCCCAUGGAUCCCUCAAUUUAUGGACAGGGAAUCAUGCAGUCAAAACCUGGAAUAGGAAAUACAGAUUUGAUGAACUGGAGACAGCAUUGAUGGAGAUGGUUAAGCAGGACAAUCGACGCGAAUUAUGUGCUAGGAUCUUAAUGCGAUUUGAGCAAGAUCAAAAGGAAACGGAAGAUGCUUGUAGAUUUGCCGAACAAAAUCCAGCUGCACAGAGAUAUUCGUGUUCAAGUUUCUUUUUUUUUGUUUAUAAAAUUUCCCCUCAAACAUACCUUAUUGAGGCACUUGAAUUCUCGAAUCUUUUAUUUAUGCAUACUUUUAUGUCUGCAAGUAGAAGUAUAGACGUUUUGAUAAUACAGUGGCGUCAUAUGCCUUUUGUGUUAGAAUUUGAAUUGUUCCCCCUAAACAAUUUUCUCUAUGUACAGGUUUGAUUGUGGCAUGUUUAUGUAUUCUAUAUAUCAACUUCUAUAGCAGAGGCUUAAGUCUUUGUUUUGAGCAGGAACACAUGCCUAUGCCCUAUUUUUGUUUAAGGACCGCCAAGGAAAUUCUAAAACUGAAAGCUGAUUGAUCGGAUGUGUAUGCCGGCUUUCAUCAACUACUUUCGAAGGCCUUACUAGGAAUUGAAAUGGUGUGCAAAGAGAUUGCUUCUUCUGAUCUGAUUUUUCGAUAUAAAUACUAGACAUUUUACUGCUGUUAGUAAAAUAGGAUUCUCUUCUUAGGAUAUUAGUUUGUUCACUUGUAUUAGACUCAACAAUGGCUUGCAUUGCAUUGGUGUUGAUUUGACU